UAAAACAGCCAUAUCAUGUUGAAAACACCAGUUCCCAUCCAAUCAUCGAAGUUAAGCAACGUUGAGCCUAGUGAGUACUUAGAUAGGUGACUGCUUGAUAAACCUACGUGCUGUAAGCC
rnacentral:rRNA from 1 species